rnacentral:rRNA from 1 species
AGUGAACGCUGGCGGUAGGCCUAACACAUGCACGUCGAACGAGUGGCGGACGGGUUAGUAAUACAUCGGAAUCUACUCUGUCGUGGGAGAUAACGUAGGGACACUUACGCUAAUACCGCCUACGAUUGCAUGAGCCGAUGCCGGAUUAGCUAGUGGGCGGGGUAAAGGCACACCAAGGCGACGAUCCGUAGCUGGUCUGAGAGGAUGAUCAGCCACAUUGGAACUGAGACACUGUCCAGACUCCUACGGGAGGCAGCAGUGGGGAAUAUUGGACAACGGGCGCAAGCCUGAUCCAGACAUACCGUGUGGGUGAAGAAGGCCUUCGGGGUGUAAAGCCCUUUUGUUGGGAAAGCGGUACCCAAAGAAUAAGCACCGGCUAACUUCGUGCCAGCAGCCGCGGUAAUAC